rnacentral:rRNA from 1 species
GCAACGCCGCGUGAAGGAAGAAGGCUUUCGGGUUGUAAACUUCUUUUCUCAGGGACGAAGUAAAGUGACGGUACCUGAGGAAUAAGCCACGGCUAACUACGUGCC